GUGGGGUCUAGUUGGUGGAAUUAGGUCACUGUGGAGAUGGCUUUGAAGAAUAUAUCUUGUCUCUGUGCCCCAUCUCUGUCUCUUUUUGCUUCCUGGUUGACAGAUCAUAUAAUGAGGACCUUCUUGGAGAAAGUGAAAUGAUGUUACCCGCUGAGUGAAUUACAUGUUUGCCAUGGAAAUCAUCUAACUCUGCAAAAACCAGAAACACAGAAGCAAACAUGCCAGCCAUUCCCUCUCUGGAAACCCUUGGACAGAAUUCUACAUAGUAAAAGUCUGAAAUGAACCCUUA